GGGUCGGUAGCUCAGUCGGUAGAGCAGCGGACUUUUAAUCCGUUGGUCGGGAGUUCGAAUCUCCCCCGGCCUACCA
rnacentral:tRNA from 1 species